rnacentral:lncRNA from 1 species
UGCAGGAAAAUGGUGACGAUCUCGCUCUAGUGGUGAUCGAGGAGAGAUGUGAAGGAGGAAGCAUGGUGAUUGAGGAGAGGCUGGAGAUGGGAAGUAGGGAUGAGGAAGACAGAGACAAAUAAUCGAAUGGGUCCAUUUGAGUAUUGCAAAAUAUUCAUAAAAUCAGCAAAAUGGUGAGUGUGAUUCUGAAGGGAAUAAAAGAUAAAUUAAGACAUUUUUAUUGAAAUAGAAAAGAGAAGAAUGGAUAGGAAAAAAGCUGGAUCUCUGGUUGUGAAGAACAGGAUGAGAGCUGUUAAGGGUGGUACUAGAAAAUUGAAAAGACUUCAGUCAUCUAUAAAUUGUAACAGCAAGCAGAAAUGCAACAGGAAUGAAGGGGAUUGUGAGAGGAAAAAUGAUGAGUUGUAAACUAAUUUCAUACAAUGUUCGGGGCCUUAAUGAUAGGAAAAAAAGAAUGGUGACUAGGAGUAGUUUGAGCCAGUGAAAGCUAGAAGUUUGCUGUCUUCAAGGAACUAAAAUGGAGAUGAUUAGAAGAUGUGACAUCAAAUUUUUUGGAAGAUGAAGGAGGUGAGGUGGCACUUCAUUCCAGCAAAAAGGGCGGCAAGUGGUGCUAUGGAGGUUUAGAGAGAGGAUCAGUUUAUUUGCAAGGAUGUGGUUAAGCGUGACUACUCUAUUUCUUGCUUGUUCGAGUGUUGUGAUGGUGGGUUUCAAUGAGUAUUCACUGGGGUAUAUUGUUGGGGUUCAAGGGAGGAAAGGAGUGGGUUAUGGAGGGAAUUAGAGGAGUGUUCAAAUGGCGAAGUAAAUGGGUUUUGGGGGAGACGUCUAUAUGGUAUUGAUGAGGAGUGAGAAAUCAGGUAAGUAAUUUUCUAAAAGUAGGGCGGAGGAAUUUAGAGACAAAAUUGAUUUGGGGCUGGUGGACUUCCCAUCGAUGGAGGGAAGAUGGACCUGAACGAAUGGGAGAGAUU